GAUGAACGCUAGCGGCAGGCCUAACACAUGCAAGUCGAGGGGUAGAACACUUCGGUGUUUGAGACCGGCGCACGGGUGCGUAACGCGUAUGCAAUCUACCUUGUACAGGGGAAUAGCCCAGAGAAAUUUGGAUUAAUGCCCCAUAGUAUAUAACCUUCGCAUGUUGGUUAUAUUAAAGUUCCAACGGUACAAGAUGAGCAUGCGUCCCAUUAGUUAGUUGGUAAGGUAACGGCUUACCAAGACGAUGAUGGGUAGGGGUCCUGAGAGGGAGAGCCCCCACACUGGUACUGAGACACGGACCAGACUCCUACGGGAGGCAGCAGUGAGGAAUAUUGGUCAAUGGGCGCAAGCCUGAACCAGCCAUGCCGCGUGCAGGAAGACGGUCCUAUGGAUUGUAAACUGCUUUUAUACAGGAAGAAACAACCCUACGUGUAGAGUCUUGACGGUACUGUAGGAAUAAGGAUCGGCUAACUCCGUGCCAGCCGCCGCAGUAAAAC
rnacentral:rRNA from 1 species